rnacentral:pre_miRNA from 4 species
AAGCACCGUCGCAUCCUCCAGCAAUUAGGCUAGGGCCACGGGAUCUAGUGACCCAAGCCUCGGUGCUAGUGGAUUCGAUUGUACUAG